CCCUUAGAUGUCCUGGGCUGCACGCGCGCUACACUGAUGUGUCCAGUAAGCACCUAACCUCUUCCGAAAGGAACGGGUAACCUUUGCAAAGCACAUCGUGAUGGGGAUAGAUUAUUGCAAUUAUUAGUCUUGAACGAGGAAUUCCUAGUAAGCACAAGUCAUCAGCUUGUGUUGAUUACGUCCCUGCCCUUUGUACACACCGCCCGUCGCUCCUACCGAUUGAAUGGCUUAGUGAGCCUUUGGGAUUGGCAGCUUGUACCGGCAACGGUAGCAGGCCGCUGAAAACUUAGGCAAACUUGGUCAUUUAGAGGAAGUAAAAGUCGUAACA
rnacentral:rRNA from 1 species